UGCAGUCGAGCGGAUGACGAAGGAGCUUGCUCCUUCUGAUUCAGCGGCGGACGGGUGAGUAACACGUGGGCAACCUGCCCUGUAGAUUGGGAUAACUCCGGGAAACCGGGGCUAAUACCGAAUAAUCCUUCGGACCUCAUGGUCCGAUGUUGAAAGACGGUUUCUCCUGGCCCUUCCGGGAUGGCCCCCCGGGCCAUUACUUGGUUGGGAAGGUACCGGUCCCCCAAGGGACCAAUGCGUACCCAACCUGAAAGGGGAACCGGCACCCCGGGAAUGGAACCCCGGCCCGAAUCCCUCCGGAAGGCACCAUAAGGAAUCCUUCCCCAUGGAACAAAGGCCGAAUGAACCACCCCCCCGUGAUGAAAAAAGGUCCCCGAACCUUAAAAUUCGGUGGGGAGGAAAAACCAGUUCCGGAAUUACCGGCCGGUACUUGGCCGGUACCCCAUAAAAAAGCCCCGGUUACUUACUUGCCACCACCGGG
rnacentral:rRNA from 1 species